rnacentral:tRNA from 1 species
CGGCUGGUAGCUCAGUGGCAGAGCAGCUCUCUUACAAGGAGUGGAGCGGGGGUUCGAGUCCCUCUCAGCCGACCA